GGAGGGAUAGCUCAGUCAGUAAAGCAUGAGACUCUUAAUCACAGGGUCAUGGGUUCGAGCCCCGUGUUGGUUGAAAGAUUCCU